CAGGGAAUCUUCCACAAUGGGCGAAAGCCUGAUGGAGCAACGCCGCGUGUGUGAUGAAGGGUUUCGGCUCGUAAACACUGUUGUAAGAGAAGAAUGACAUUGAGAGUAACUGUUCAAUGUGUGACGGUAUCUUACCAGAAAGGAACGGCUAAAUACGUGCCAG
rnacentral:rRNA from 1 species